AUUGGAAGAAAGCGGGAACGUUGGGAAGCAGAGCGUGCUUUAGGUGCGGAGAGGCCAAGUUUAUCCUAGUGGCUUGUACCCAAAAGAUUACUGCCUGGAAUAUGUCAGACAUUGAAACCAGAUGUUAGAGGAGUAGCAGUUUGAGAGGCAGAGAGAGGGCUGUGCGCUCAGGAUAAGAAAACAUCCAGUGUCCGGGAGGUCAUCCGCAGGGUUUUCCGCAGCGUUCCACGAGACAGACUGAGCCAGGAUGGGAGUUCUAGGUUCAAUUUGCGAACCAGGGAUGAUUAUCCAGAAAGUUCUCUAUAGCCCCAGAGCAAAGGUGGCCAAAAGUGCAGAUGAAGCCUUGUCCACGCAUGUUCAUAGCGCGGUUCACGACAACAAAAGGCAGCAAUGACCCAAGUGUCCAUCACAGGAGGAAUGAAUAAACAAAAUGCGAUAUAUCCAAACAAUGGAGUAUUCUCCAGCCUUAAAGCAUGAAGUGCUUCUAGAUGCUGUGACUGGAAGAGCCUUGAAGACAUUGCUAAGAAGUCAGAUACAGAAGGCCCCUUAUGAUAUGAACUAUCCGGAAUAGGUCUCCAGGCGCAGAGAGCAGCAUUUUUUCCAGGAAAAGAUUUGACGUGGGUGAGCAGGAUUACACCGUAGAAAGUUCCUAGAGGUCCAGGGACCCUGCCUCAGGCACUCUUCAGAUUCAGGACUCUAGGCCUGAAGAAGAGGUAAGCAGCAGGAUAUAUUGUCUGUAUCCCUGUCCAAAAGCCCCUUCUGUUUCCUAUAAAAAUGAUCAGUUCAGAAUGGAAAUAAAUGUAUUUGUUUGGAAUCCCAGA